GUGUCAGCCGCCGCGGUAAGACAGAGGGUGCAAACGUUGUUCGGAAUUACUGGGCGUAAAGCGCGUGUAGGCUGCUCGGAAAGUCAGGUGUGAAAGCCCUGGGCUCAACCUAGGAAGUGCACUUGAAACUUCCGAGCUGGAGAUCUGGAGAGGAAGGCGGAAUUCUCGGUGUAGAGGUGAAAUUCGUAGAUAUCGAGAGGAACACCGGUGGCGAAGGCGGCCUUCUGGACAGCAUCUGACGCUGAGACGCGAAAGCGUGGGGAGCAAACAGGAUUAGAAACCCCUGUAGUCC
rnacentral:rRNA from 1 species